AUUGAACGCUGGCGGCAGGCUUAACACAUGCAAGUCGAGCGGAGAUGAGGUGCUUGCACCUUAUCUUAGCGGCGGACGGGUGAGUAAUGCUUAGGAAUCUGCCUAUUAGUGGGGGACAACAUUCCGAAAGGAAUGCUAAUACCGCAUACGUCCUACGGGAGAAAGCAGGGGAUCUUCGGACCUUGCGCUAAUAGAUGAGCCUACGUCGGAUUAGCGAGUUGGUGGGGGAAAGGCCUGCCAAGGCGACGAUCUGUAGCGGGUCUGAGAGGAUGAUCCGCCACACUGGGACUGAGACACGGCCCAGACUCCUACGGGAGGCAGCAGUGGGGAAUAUUGGACAAUGGGGGAAACCCUGAUCCAGCCAUGCCGCGUGUGUGAAGAAGGCCUUAUGGUUGUAAAGCACUUUAAGCGAGGAGGAGGCUACUGAGACUAAUACUCUUGGAUAGUGGACGUUACUCGCAGAAUAAGCACCGGCUAACUCUGUGCCAGCCGCCGCCGUAACAC
rnacentral:rRNA from 1 species